rnacentral:rRNA from 1 species
UACAGAGGUCUCAAGCGUUGUUCGGAUUCAUUGGGCGUAAAGGGUGCGUAGGCGGCGCGGUAAGUCGGGUGUGAAAUCUCGGGGCUUAACUCCGAAACUGCAUUUGAUACUGCGGUGCUUGAGGACUGGAGAGGAGACUGGAAUUCAUGGUGUAGCAGUGAAAUGCGUAGAGAUCAUGAGGAAGACCAGUGGCGAAGGCGGGUCUCUGGACAGUUCCUGACACUGAGGCACGAAGGCCAGGGGGAGCAAACGGG